GGGCACAAGCAGACUCAACCUGGGAAGGCAGAGAGUCCAGCAAUCUGACAGAAAAAUGCAGUCAUUGCUUCCUUCUCUUGUUACAUUUCAGUUCUCUAAAUUGAUGAAUAGCCCCAUACUAAAGCCUGGAUUGGGAGAAACACUGAGUGACCACAGCUUGGGAAGGUUCCUUACUGAAAAGAGGUUUGAAAAUCAAGAGCUCACACCAAGUCCUGAUCUUGAAUCUGUGAGUGAACCUGGAGACACCCGACCCCUGACACUUUGCAGAAUGCUAUAGAGGUGGU